rnacentral:rRNA from 1 species
GGAUUAGUGGCGAACGGGUGAGUAACACGUGAGUAACCUGCCCUUAACUCUGGGAUAAGCCUUGGAAACGGGGUCUAAUACUGGAUAUUGACAUUUCAUCGCAUGGUGGUUUGUUGAAAGAUUUAUUGGUUUUGGAUGGACUCGCGGCCUAUCAGCUUGUUGGUGAGGUAAUGGCUCACCAAGGCGACGACGGGUAGCCGGCCUGAGAGGGUGACCGGCCACACUGGGACUGAGACACGGCCCAGACUCCUACGGGAGGCAGCAGUGGGGAAUAUUGCACAAUGGGCGAAAGCCUGAUGCAGCGACGCCGCGUGAGGGAUGACGGCCUUCGGGUUGUAAA